AAUCCGCCGGGCUUAGAUGAGGGGUGAUAACGAGGCUGCUUGCAGCCGAAGUGAGUGAUACCCUGCUUCCAGGAAAAGCCACUAAGCUUCAGCUACACACGACCGUACCGCAAACCGACACUGGUGCGCGAGAUGAGUAUUCUAAGGCGCUUGAGAGAACUCAGGAGAAGGAACUCGGCAAAUUGACACCGUAACUUCGGAAGAAGGUGUGCCUUUAGUAGGUGAACCUGUACAAGGGGAGCCCAAUGAGGUUGCAAAAAAUCGGUGGCUGCGACUGUUUAUUAAAAACACAGCACUCUGCAAACACGAAAGUGGACGUAUAGGGUGUGACGCCUGCCCGGUGCUGGAAGAUUAAAUGAUGGGGUGCAAGCUCUUGAUUGAAGUCCCAGUAAACGGCGGCCGUAACGAUAACGGUCCUAAGGUAGCGAAAUUCCUUGUCGGGUAAGUUCCGACCUGCACGAAUGGCGUAACGAUGGCCACACUGUCUCCUCCUGAGACUCAGCGAAGUUGAAAUGUUUGUGAUGAUGCAAUCUCCCCGCGGAAAGACGGAAAGACCCCAUGAACCUUUACUGUAGCUUUGUAUUGGACUUUGAACAGAUCUGUGUAGGAUAGGUGGGAGGCUUUGAAGCAGGGUCGCUAGAUCUUGUGGAGCCAACGUUGAAAUACCACCCUGGUGUGUUUGAGGUUCUAACCUAGGUCCAUUAUCUGGAUCGGGGACAGUGCAUGGUAGGCAGUUUGACUGGGGCGGUCUCCUCCCAAAGCGUAACGGAGGAGUUCGAAGGUACGCUAGUUACGGUCGGACAUCGUGACGAUAGUGCAAUGGCAUAAGCGUGCUUAACUGCGAGACUGACAAGUCGAGCAGAUGCGAAAGCAGGACAUAGUGAUCCGGUGGUUCUUAUGGAAGGGCCAUCGCUCAACGGAUAAAAGGUACUCUGGGGAUAACAGGCUGAUACCGCCCAAGAGUUCGUAUCGACGGCGGUGUUUGGCACCUCGAUGUCGGCUCAUCUCAUCCUGGGGCUGUAGCCGGUCCCAAGGGUAUGGCUGUUCGCCAUUUAAAGAGGUACGUGAGCUGGGUUUAAAACGUCGUGAGACAGUUUGGUCCCUAUCUUCCGUGGGCGCUGCAGAUUUGAGGAAGCCUGCUCCUAGUACGAGAGGACCGGAGUGGACAUACCUCUGGUGUAUCGGUUGUCACGCCAGUGGCAUUGCCGAGUAGCUAAGUAUGGAAGAGAUAAACGCUGAAAGCAUCUAAGCGUGAAACUCGUUUCAAGAUGAGAUCUGCCGGGGCCUUGAGCCCCCUAAAGAGUCGUCCAAGACCAGGACGUUGAUAGGUCAGGUGUGGAAGCGCAGUAAUGCGUUAAGCUAACUGAUACUAAUUGCUCGUGCGGCUUGACC
rnacentral:rRNA from 1 species